AUGAAGCCCCUCCGUUCCAUCCCAGCCGUCCAGCCCCACCCCCCCGUUCCCCAACUCAAACCCCCACGCCGCCGCUCGCCGCCGGCCGCCGGAGGGCCACCGCCGAUGACCACCCCAGGCGCGGCCACGCCCCCGAGCUUCAAGCGAUCCUCCCCCAGGAAGAAACAGCGGCCCCGCAGCCGCCUCCUCGCCGCUGACUUCGCCGCCGGAGAGGCCGAGGCUGCGCGGGCGUUGGUGGCGGCCAGGGCCACGCCGUCACCCCUCUCACCGCCGGCGGUGUCCCCGCAGUCUGCCGCAGGUAUGGCUCUGCCUCGCGAGUUCUUCGAGGUGGAUGCGCUCGACCUCGCCCCCCGCCUCCUCGGCAAGCUCCUGCGCCGCGACCAAGUCGUCCUCCGCAUCACCGAGGUGGAGGCUUACAGGCCAAACGAUUCCGCGUGCCAUGGCCGGUUCGGCAUCACGGCGAGAACUGCUCCUGUGUUUGGACCAGGAGGGCAUGCAUAUGUGUACCUAUGCUAUGGACUCCACAUGAUGCUCAAUGUUGUUGCCGACGAAGAGGGCGUCGGAGCUGCUGUUCUGAUCCGAGCGUGUGCCCCAGUUAGUGGACUGGAAAUUAUUCAGCAGCGUCGUGGCCAACAAACCGAGAAACCGAUCCUACUUACAGGACCAGGAAAGGUCGGUCAAGCUCUGGGGCUUUCCACCGACUGGUCGAACCAUCCACUAUAUACACCCGGUGGGUUGGAAGUUCUGGAUGCACCAGAACCUGAGAACAUUUUGGUUGGCCCCCGUGUCGGAAUCGAGUAUGCAUCGCCCGAGCAUGUCAUGGCGCCAUGGAGGUUCGCCGUUGCGGGCACCCCAUGGAUCAGUGCCCCGAAGAACACUCUCAGACCUCGGUGA
rnacentral:rRNA from 1 species